GAGCUCAGUUGGCAGAGCAUGGGGCUCUUAAUAUCAAAGUCGUGGGUUCGAGCCCACCUUGGGCA